rnacentral:rRNA from 1 species
GAUGAACGCUGGCGGCGUGCCUAACACAUGUAAGUCGAGCGAAGCACUUACUUUAGAUUUCUUCGGAAUGAUGAAGUUUGUGACUGAGCGGCGGACGGUUGUGUCACUCGUGGGCAACCUGCCCUGUACAGGGGGAUAACAGUUAGAAAUGACUGCUAAUACCGCAUAAGCCCACAUCUUCGCAUGAAGCAGUGGGAAAAACUCCGUGGGUACAGGAUGGUACCGCGUCUGAUUAGUUAGUUGGUAAGGUAACGGCUUACCAAGGCGACGAUCAGUAGCCGACGUGAGAGUGGGACCGGCCAAGUUGGGACUGAGACACAGCCAAAGCUCCUACGAGAGGGAGGAGUGGGGAAUAGUGAACAAUGAGGGAAACACUGAUGCAGCGACGCGGCGGGAGCGAAGAAGUAUUUCGGUAUAUAAAGCUGUAUCAGAAGAGAAGAAAGUGACGGUAACUGACUAAGAAGCCCAGGCUAACUACGUG